UAAAGAAUUAAUUAAAAUGCCAGUGAGUGUAUUCCACUGAUCUUAUCGAGGCCAUAAAUUUUAUGUGCUAGCACUCACCUGAGAUGACAGGCACCACAAUGCAGUCAGUAAAACUGUGCAGUAAGAGGAAUAAUACUUAAAUACCACCAACCAUACAGUACAAAAUGAGAAAAUAUGACUUGCUUGCUAAAAAAAAUUAAAUUUAAAUGGAC